AUUGAACGCUGGCGGCAGGCCUAACACAUGCAAGUCGAACGAGUGGCGGACGGGUGAGUAAUGUCUGGGAAACUGCCCGAUGGAGGGGGCUAAGUACUGGAAACGGUAGCUACAACCGCAUAACACCGGAUGUGCCCAGUGGGGAUGGUCUAGUGGGUGGGGGAACGGCGCACCUAGGCGACGAUCCCUAGCUGGGCUGAGAGGCUGACCAGCCACACUGGAACUGAGACACGGUCCAGACUCCUACGGGAGGCAGCAGUGGGGAAUAUUGGACAAUGGACGCAAGCCUGAUGCAGCCACGCCGCGUGUAUGAAGAAGGCUUUCGGGUUGUAAAGUACUUUCAGCGAGGAGGCGUUACCCGCAGAAGAAGCACCGGCUAACUCCGUGCCAGCAGCCGCGGUAAUAC
rnacentral:rRNA from 1 species